rnacentral:rRNA from 1 species
AUUGAACGCUGGCGGCAGGCCUAACACAUGCAAGUCGAGCGGAUGAAGGGAGCUUGCUCCUGGAUUCAGCGGCGGACGGGUGAGUAAUGCCUAGGAAUCUGCCUGGUAGUGGGGGAUAACGUCCGGAAACGGGCGCUAAUACCGCAUACGUCCUGAUGGAGAAAGUGGGGGAUCUUCGGACCUCACGCUAUCAGAUGAGCCUAGGUCGGAUUAGCUAGUUGGUGGGGUAAAGGCCUACCAAGGCGACGAUCCGUAACUGGUCUGAGAGGAUGAUCAGUCACACUGGAACUGAGACACGGUCCAGACUCCUAAGGGAGGCAGCAGUGGGGAAUAUUGGACAAUGGGCGAAAGCCUGAUCCAGACAUGCCGCGUGUGUGAAGAAGGUCUUCGGAUUGUAAAGCACUUUAAGUUGGGAGGAAGGGAAGUAAGUUAAUACCUUGCUGUUUUGACGUUACCAACAGAAGAAGCACCGGCUAACUUCGUG